rnacentral:lncRNA from 1 species
GCAGUCAAGGCCCGAGGUGGUUUCUGUCUGCUAAAAGGUCAGAGUGAUGCAGAAUGCGUGCCUUCAUCUCAGAUUUUGUUCAUCGCAGGUGGAUCCCCUGUGUCUUCAGUAGACAAGUCACCUUUGUAGCACCAGUGCCAGCUCCAUGCCAUUGCACCUUCUUUAGUCUUGAUUGCCCUUCCCGCAUUUAUUGGUGUAUUAAAAUGACUGAAUAUGAACAUUAAGGACGCCAUGAACCUGGGCUAAUGGGAGACUGUAGAGAAAAUGAAAAAAGAUCCACCGGAGGACAUCUUUGGGGGGGAGGGAGCUUGGGAGGAGGGAGAUGACUAAUGAAGCUAAUUAAAAGAAGCAUUCAAAUCUGCUUUCUACCCUCAUUAACAAUUAGCAGGGCACUGGCCAGAGUUGGCACCCUGCGUUUUACCUUUCCAACAUUCUCUUUGCUCUUUGUAUAUUUAAGUGUCGUAAGGAAAUGUGUUUCAAUCAAAACUGAACAUGAGAUAAAGGAAAGAUGUGGCUUUUGUGAUAUUCUAUCACAAACACUUUUAUUGUAUCUCUCUGUAAAAUACAAUGUAUGUAUAUGCAUGUAAGUGUUUUUGUCCUGAUGUUGCUACUCCCAUGGCAAAGGAAAAAAAAAGAAUGAAAAAAAGAAAAAAAAAAAAA